rnacentral:tRNA from 1 species
GCGGGUGUAGCUCAGGGGUAGAGCACAACCUUGCCAAGGUUGGGGUCGAGGGUUCGAAUCCCUUCGCCCGC